rnacentral:rRNA from 1 species
AGAGUUUGAUCCUGGCUCAGAAUCAACGCUGGCGGCGCGCUUAACACAUGCAAGUCGCACGAGAAAGGGAGCAAUCCUGAGUAAAGUGGCGUACGGGUGAGUAACACGUGGAUCAUCUACCUUCUAGUGGGGAAUACCUCCGGGAAACUGGAGACAAUACCGCAUAAGCUCGUGAGAGGAAAGCAGCAAUGCGCUGGAAGAGGAGUCCGCGGCUGAUUAGCUAGUUGGCGGGGUAACGGCCCACCAAGGCGAAGAUCGGUAGCCGGCCUGAGAGGGCACACGGCCACACUGGCACUGAAACACGGGCCAGACUCCUACGGGAGGCAGCAGUGGGGAAUCUUGCACAAUGGAGGAAACUCUGAUGCAGCGACGCCGCGUGAGCGAUGAAGCCCUUCGGGGUGUAAAGCUCUUUCGACGGGAACGAUAAUGACGGUACCCGAAGAAGAGGCUGCGGCUAACUACGUGCCAGCAGCCGCGGUAAUACGUAGGCAGCAAGCGUUGUUCGGAAUUACUGGGCGUAAAGAGUGUGUAGGCGGUGUUCUAAGUCUGUUGUGAAAUCUCCCGGCUCAACUGGGAGGGUGCGGCGGAGACUGGAAUGCUAGAGUAUGGGAGAGGUAAGCGGAAUUCCUGGUGUAGCGGUGAAAUGCGUAGAUAUCAGGAGGAACACCUGGUGUAGACAGCUUACUGGACCAUGACUGACGCUGAGACACGAAAGCGUGGGUAGCAAACAGGAUUAGAUACCCCUGUAGUCC